rnacentral:rRNA from 1 species
AUGAACGCUAGCUACAGGCUUAACACAUGCAAGUCGAGGGGCAUCAGGAAGAAAGCUUGCUUUCUUUGCUGGCGACCGGCGCACGGGUGAGUAACACGUAUCCAACCUGCCCUUUACUCGGGGAUAGCCUUUCGAAAGAAAGAUUAAUACCCGAUGGUAUAAUUAUUCCGCAUGGUUUGAUUAUUAAAGGAUUCCGGUAAAGGAUGGGGAUGCGUUCCAUUAGGUUGUUGGUGAGGUAACGGCUCACCAAGCCUUCGAUGGAUAGGGGUUCUGAGAGGAAGGUCCCCCACAUUGGAACUGAGACACGGUCCAAACUCCUACGGGAGGCAGCAGUGAGGAAUAUUGGUCAAUGGGCGAUGGCCUGAACCAGCCAAGUAGCGUGAAGGAUGACUGCCCUAUGGGUUGUAAACUUCUUUUAUAUUAGAAUAAAGUGCAGUAUGUAUACUGUUUUGUAUGUAUAAUAUGAAUAAGGAUCGGCUAACUCCGUGCCAGCAGCCGCGGUAAUACGGAGGAUCCGAGCGUUAUCCGGAUUUAUUGGGUUUAAAGGGAGCGUAGGUGGACUGGUAAGUCAGUUGUGAAAGUUUGCGGCUCAACCGUAAAAUUGCAGUUGAUACUGUCAGUCUUGAGUACAGUAGAGGUGGGCGGAAUUCGUGGUGUAGCGGUGAAAUGCUUAGAUAUCACGAAGAACUCCGAUUGCGAAGGCAGCUCACUGGACUGCAACUGACACUGAUGCUCGAAAGUGUGGGUAUCAAACAGGAUUAGAUACCCUGGUAGUCCACACAGUAAACGAUGAAUACUCGCUGUUUGCGAUAUACAGUAAGCGGCCAAGCGAAAGCAUUAAGUAUUCCACCUGGGGAGUACGCCGGCAACGGUGAAACUCAAAGGAAUUGACGGGGGCCCGCACAAGCGGAGGAACAUGUGGUUUAAUUCGAUGAUACGCGAGGAACCUUACCCGGGCUUAAAUUGCAGUGGAAUGAUGUGGAAACAUGUCAGUGAGCAAUCACCGCUGUGAAGGUGCUGCAUGGUUGUCGUCAGCUCGUGCCGUGAGGUGUCGGCUUAAGUGCCAUAACGAGCGCAACCCUUAUCUUUAGUUACUAACAGGUCAUGCUGAGGACUCUAGAGAGACUGCCGUCGUAAGAUGUGAGGAAGGUGGGGAUGACGUCAAAUCAGCACGGCCCUUACGUCCGGGGCUACACACGUGUUACAAUGGGGGGUACAGAAGGCAGCUACCUGGUGACAGGAUGCUAAUCCCAAAAGCCUCUCUCAGUUCGGAUCGAAGUCUGCAACCCGACUUCGUGAAGCUGGAUUCGCUAGUAAUCGCGCAUCAGCCACGGCGCGGUGAAUACGUUCCCGGGCCUUGUACACACCGCCCGUCAAGCCAUGGGAGCCGGGGGUACCUGAAGUACGUAACCGCAAGGAGCGUCCUAGGGUAAAACUGGUGACUGGGGCU